UUGAGACGAUUUCGAAGACGUUUUACAGGUCGUCUCGGCGUGACAAGAUUCACCAUUCCCACUCCUUACAAAAAAACUCUAGGCUACCUCUACAAUCUCUCUCUCCCGUCUCUUACUGUGGAAACCUACCGCUAAAAUAAAAAGUGGAAACCUAGCGCCGCCACUAGAUCCCCUGGCGGUGUCUCUCCGGCGAAAUCGGCGCAGCGACUGGCGGCGCCUCUACUCCCCUCGCCGGUACAAGAUCUUCCUCCACUCUUGAACGCUGGUGCCGUGCUACAAAAAGACUCGAUCCAGCCCGUACUCGUGUGGCGGUGCCCUCUCCCAUGCUGCUGCGGCAUUGUCCUAGUUCCCCCACUGUCCCGCACCUGCCCAUGGCGCGUUGCAGAGUUGCAGCCAACCAACUCCAUGGAGUCGUGGCUCCACAGCCACAAAGGUAUGUUCAUGUACUACUAAUCUAAUCUCAGCUUGUGUCUUUUCUAAACCGAGCCUGCAUCUAUCUAAUUGGUAUGUCUCUGCAGUCACUCGAAUAACCCUUGUAAGAUGCCAGGAAAUGAGUAUUUCUUCCUUUUUCGUUCAAUCAAUCUAGCUAAUAGUUUUAUUCAUAUGGUCUGAACACAAACAGGCAAAAAAAACGUGAUAUUAUCAUCACUCAACCUAGUGCUAGAUUGGAGCGUACAGUCUGCAGGUAAUCGUGGAUAAAUGUGUCAGCUAAUUAAUCCUUGGAACUUGUCAAUUUCAUGAUAUAAGCAUGAACAAACGGAACUUGUUGAUAUCUUGAACUAAUUCAAUGUUGGAUUAGGUGGCCCCAGACUUAUAUUAAAAUUUUCCAUUUUGGUAUGCAAAUAUAUUGUUGAACUUCCACCAAUGAGAUUUUUGAGUACUUGUCAUUCAUUUGUAGUCCAUAGAAAGUACUCACCGAAAGUGAUUUACUUAGACUAAGUGGAUUUACUGGUAUUUUACUAACGUCGAACUAGUUCUAUAUUUUAAGGAAUGCCUAUAUGAAGCUUGUGUAACCUUCCAAUUAAGUGCACCAUGCAGAAAUUGACUACAACUACAGUCUAUUCAACCAAUUGACUACAUCUACAGUCUAUUCAACCAAUUGACUACAUCUACAGUCUAUUCAAGCAGCAUAGUGAUGGCCAUAUCUUUAUCUAGCAUUUUCAGGUUAAUUUAGCCUUGACCUUGCUUCAGUUCUUCAUGUCUUAUUGAGAUGUAAGUUACAUCGCUUAUGUAAUCGAAACCAAUUAGUAUGCUUGUGGAUAUAUUAUAUAGCUCACGUUCUUCCGUACCUUUCAUCCUUUUUUUCCCUUACGUUGUCUCUAAUCAAUGCCACUAGCCUUGUUUCUUGAUAGACUUCCAAAUAAAAUUAAUUAAAGCUUCAAAUUGUACUACCCAGUAGAGAAAUUGAUAUAGUUCUGAAGAUGCAUCAUAAUAAUGUUUCUUCAUCAGGUUGUAUGUACUUGUUUCUUAACGCUAGUAAUAAAUCAGUGUUACUGCAUCCUGCAUCACUUAAUAAGAAAUUCAUGUUGCUGCAUUGCUUGAUACAAAGAGACCACUGUGUAAACCUUAUGGAUAUAUUAUAUAGCUCAGGUUCUUCGGUGCCCUUCAUCAUUUUUACCUUAUUGUCUCCAAUCAAUGUCACUAACCCUUUUUUCCUCAUAGGCUUCAACUAAAUGCAUCAACGGUUCAAAUUGUACUACCCAGAAGUGAAGGUUCUUAAGAUGCAUCAUAAGGAUUAGCAUGCUGCAAGUUUGGAGCCUUCUGUUUUCAACAGUUGAUAACAUAUUUUGUAAUAGCACGCUGCAAGUUCUUGCAAAAUAUUACCCACUAUUGUUUUCCAUAUUUUGUCUUUAUUUUUUUGUAUUCUCUAACCUUAGUUAAAUUGUUCUAUGUAGGGUUAUGAUCAUUUCUAGUUACCCCUGAUGAUAAGAAGGUGCAUAUUUUGGCAAAUGUUGAACAAUCACUAACAGUACUGCAAAUGGUUAGAAUUUUAAUGAAGCGCACUAUAAAAGACCACAAGGGAUGUUGCAGUGAAGACCUGUCGGUGUUGAAGUACAUGCAAAACUUUAGAUAGAUUCCAGCUACUUAGAAGUACAUGAGUACUGGCGUUCUUUUAUUCUUCCCCCUCGUUCAUAUGUAUAGAUAGAUUCUAGCUACUUAGAAAGUUAGAAGUACAUGUGUACGGAAGUUGUUUUUAUUCUUGCCCCUCGUUUAUAUGUAUGUACACUUAAGUUGUAAAGUACGAUUUUCCUUGGUUAAUAUAUUUAUUUACUGAAA